GCUAGUUGUAUUAUUAGUUAUGCAGAUCGACUACGUAGGUAGAAUAAUGAUGAUGACAAUUUUUUAGACCAAGUCUCGUGCCAGCAGUCGCGGUAAUACGUGGAAGACUAGUGUUAUUCAUCUUUAUUAGGUUUAAAGGGUACCUAGACGGUAUUUCUAGCCCAAAAUAGGGUACGGAUUUACUAGAGUUUUAUGUGAGGAGGGGAGUACUCGUGGAGUAGAGAUGAAAUUUUGUUAUACUAUGAGGUAACUGGUGGCGGCGAAAGCAACCUUCUAUGUAUAAACUGACGUUGAGGGACGAAGGCUUGGGUAGCAAAUAGGAUUAGAUACCCUAGUAGUCCAAGCAGACAAUUCUGAAUGCCAUAGAUUAGAUUAUUUUUGGUCUAUAAAUGAAAUUGUAAGCAUUCCACCUUAGGAGUAAUGUGGCAACACAGGAACUGAAAUCAUUAGACCGUUUCUGAUACCAGUAGUGAAGUAUGUUAUUUAAAUUGAUGGUCCACAAAAAACCUUACCACAACUUGAAUAUUUUUUAAUUAAUACAAGCGUUGCACGGCUGUCUUCAGUUAAUGUCGUGAGAUUUUGUUUAGCUCCAUUAAUUAACGUAAACCCUUACUUUA
rnacentral:rRNA from 1 species